GAUGAACGCUGGCGGCGUGCCUAAUACAUGCAAGUCGAGCGAACGGACGAGAAGCUUGCUUCUCUGAUGUUAGCGGCGGACGGGUGAGUAACACGUGGAUAACCUACCUAUAAGACUGGGAUAACUUCGGGAAACCGUAGCUAAUACCGGAUAAUAUUUUGAACCGCAUGGUUAAAAAGUGAAAGACGGUCUUGCUGUCACUUAUAGAUGGAUCCGCGCUGCAUUAGCUAGUUGGUAAGGUAACGGCUUACCAAGGCAACGAUGCAUAGCCGACCUGAGAGGGUGAUCGGCCACACUGGAACUGAGACACGGUCCAGACUCCUACGGGAGGCAGCAGUAGGGAAUCUUCCGCAAUGGGCGAAAGCCUGACGGAGCAACGCCGCGUGAGUGAUGAAGGUCUUCGGAUCGUAAAACUCUGUUAUUAGGGAAGAACAUAUGUGUAAGUAACUGUGCACAUCUUGACGGUACCUAAUCAGAAAGCCACGGCUAACUACGUG
rnacentral:rRNA from 1 species